rnacentral:rRNA from 1 species
GGGGAAUAUUGCACAAUGGGGGAAACCCUGAUGCAGCGACGCCGCGUGAGUGAUGAAGUAUUUCGGUAUGUAAAACUCUAUCAGCAGGGAAGAUAAUGACGGUACCUGACUAAGAAGCACCGGCUAAAUACGUGCCAGCAGCCGCGGUAAUACGUAUGGUGCAAGCGUUAUCCGGAUUUACUGGGUGUAAAGGGUGCGUAGGCGGUAUGGCAAGUCAGAAGUGAAAGGCUGGGGCUCAACCCCGGGACUGCUUUUGAAACUGUCAAACUAGAGUACAGGAGAGGAAAGCGGAAUUCCUAGUGUAGCGGUGAAAUGCGUAGAUAUUAGGAGGAACACCAGUGGCGAAGGCGGCUUUCUGGACUGAAACUGACACUGAGGCACGAAAGCGUGGGGAGCAAAC